GAUGAACGCUGGCGGCGUGCCUAAUACAUGCAAGUCGAGCGAACAGACGAGGAGCUUGCUCCUCUGACGUUAGCGGCGGACGGGUGAGUAACACGUGGAUAACCUACCUAUAAGACUGGGAUAACUUCGGGAAACCGGAGCUAAUACCGGAUAAUAUAUUGAACCGCAUGGUUCAAUAGUGAAAGACGGUUUUGCUGUCACUUAUAGAUGGAUCCGCGCCGCAUUAGCUAGUUGGUAAGGUAACGGCUUACCAAGGCAACGAUGCGUAGCCGACCUGAGAGGGUGAUCGGCCACAUGGGAACUGAGACACGGUCCAGACGCCUAAGGGAGGCAGCAGUAGGGAAUCUUCCGCAAUGGGCGAAAGCUUGACGGAGCAACGCCGCGUGAGUGAUGAAGGUCUUCGGAUCGUAAAACUCUGUUAUUAGGGAAGAACAAAUGUGUAAGUAACUAUGCACGUCUUGACGGUACCUAAUCAGAAAGCCACGGCUAACUACGUG
rnacentral:rRNA from 1 species